GGUUCGAUUCUGGCUAGAUUGAACUGGCAGGAUCACUUUACACAUGCAAGUCGAACGGCAGCACGGACUUCGGUCUGGUGGCGAGUGGCGAACGGGUGAGUAAUGUAUCGGAACGUGCCCUAGUAGCGGGGGAUAACUACGCGAAAGCGUAGCUGGCUACAUACGCCCUUCGAGGAAAGCGGGGACCUUCGGGCCUCGCACUAUUAGGAAAAGCGGCCGAUAUCGGAUU
rnacentral:misc_RNA from 1 species